rnacentral:lncRNA from 1 species
CGUACAAAACAAGAAAACUUGGGCUCUUUCAACAGAUCAGCCUCAAAUGUGAAAGAAAGGUAGCUGACAUAGGUAUUGACUGAGAUUUACAUAUUCUUUUUACUUACUGCAGGGAGGGAAAUAAAGAUCUUAAGAGUAACACAAUUUUAAUAUUUCACCCACAAUCCUACUGUCCUAACAAAUGGUUUUCAUUUCUCUCUGUUGCUUUCCAGUCCCUACUCACAAUGCAUAGAAUUUUAUCAGUGCUAAAAAUCAAAACUGAUAUAACUUCAUUCUGAAUCACAAAGUUUUGGAACUGAAUCAAACCUUAGAGACUGAAGACCAACCAAUCCCCUCAUUUACAAAUGGGGAAACUGAAGUAGCUGGGCAUCAGACACAGUAUCUCACUUAAUUCUCAUAACAACACCAUAAGGUAUGUGCUGUUACCGUCGCCAGUCUAGAGAUGCCAAUACCAAGGCCAGAGAGGUUAAGACACUCGCUCAAGGUCACACAGCUAGUAAGUGAGUGGUAGACAUUCACACAGGCUGUCUGGCUCACUGCCUGGCAGCUCUGGACUCACACUCUGGACUCCAGAAUCCCAAUGCAGGAUUCAUUCUGCUUCUCAGGGUGUGCUUAUUCUAAUACUCACUCCAGAAGGGGUUGGUUUUUUCUUUUUUUAAUAAUCUAUUUUAUUCUUUCAAUAACAUUCUACUCUGUAAAUUAGAUUUUACAGAGCUCUUCGCCAAGGAGGAUCACGCAUACCUUCUCCCCAGUGGGAAGACAGAAAACCCCAGUUGAGGCCCCAGCUCCUUCCCUAAGUGAAGCAUAGUAAGCCAGAGCUGCUUCCUGAUAUGUGUCAGGGUCAUCUUCCAAAACAUCUACAGGGUACACGCCUGCUGGGGUGAAAGAGGCAAGAAAGGACAUUAGUUUUACUCUUUUGUGAAAGGAAAGUAACUUAUCUCUUGAGGAGUUUUUUAAAAAGUUAACACUUGGGCUGGGUGCGGUGGCUCACGCCUGUAAUCCCAGCACUUUGGGAGGUGGAGGUGGGAGGAUCACAAGGUCAGGAGAUCGAGACCAUCCUGGCUAACAUGGUGAAACCCCAUCUCUACUAAAAAAAAAAUACAAAAAAAUUAGCCCGGCGUGGCAGCGGGCGCCUAUAAUCCCAGCUGCUUGGGAGGCUGAGGCAGGAGAAUGGCAUGAACCCAGGAGGUGGAGCUUGCAGUGAGCCAAGAUGGCGCCACUGCACUCCAGACUGGGUGAGAGAGUGAGACUCUAUCUCAAAAAAAAAAAAAAAACAAAAA